UACGUAGGGUGCAAGCGUUGUCCGGAAUUAUUGGGCGUAAAGGGCUCGUAGGCGGUUUGUCGCGUCGGGGGUGAAAACGCCGUGCUUAACACGGCGCUUGCUUUCGAUACGGGCAGACUAGAGGUAUGCAGGGGAGAACGGAAUUCCUGGUGUAGCGGUGAAAUGCGCAGAUAUCAGGAGGAACACCGGUGGCGAAGGCGGUUCUCUGGGCAUUACCUGACGCUGAGGAGCGAAAGCCAGGGGAGCAAACGGG
rnacentral:rRNA from 1 species